rnacentral:rRNA from 1 species
GAUGAACGCUGGCGGCGUGCUUAACACAUGCAAGUCGAACGAAGCACUUUAUUUGAUUUCCUUCGGGACUGAUUAUUUUGUGACUGAGUGGCGGACGGGUGAGUAACGCGUGGGUAACCUGCCUUGUACAGGGGGAUAACAGUUGGAAACGGCUGCUAAUACCGCAUAAGCGCACAGCAUCGCAUGAUGCAGUGUGAAAAACUCCGGUGGUAUAAGAUGGACCCGCGUUGGAUUAGCUAGUUGGUGAGGUAACGGCCCACCAAGGCAACGAUCCAUAGCCGACCUGAGAGGGUGACCGGCCACAUUGGGACUGAGACACGGCCCAAACUCCUACGGGAGGCAGCAGUGGGGAAUAUUGCACAAUGGGCGAAAGCCUGAUGCAGCGACGCCGCGUGAGCGAAGAAGUAUUUCGGUAUGUAAAGCUCUAUCAGCAGGGAAGAUAAUGACG